CUUUGGGAGAGGUUCAUGAGAAGGUUUAGAGGGAGGAAAGGAAAGGAGGAAAUGAUAGCAUUACAAUAUCUCUUUAAAAAUUAAAAGGAAGAGAGUGGAAGAGACAAGUUCUCGAAACAGCCUGGAUGCUGAGCUCAACCCAAAGCACGGGUGUAAGCUCUGGCCAGCAGCCCUCAGAGGCUUCCAGCUCAGCGGCCCGAGACUCCUCACUGAAAAUAUCCAGCAUCUGAUGAGGCAGCUGCGGGUUAAAUUUAGCCUUGGCAAACUCAGGCCUUGGCUGGAUGCUGGAAGCAUCUGAGUGGAUGGAUGGAGGGCCGAUGGAUGCGUGGAUAAAGAAUGGACACAUGAACAGGUGGAUGGACAAAUGGACAGACAGGUGGAUGGAUAGACAGAUGGAUGGACUUAGCACAGGUCCUGCCCAGAUGGACCUGCAGACUCAGACUGUCCUGCACUGAGCUGAGCUGUACAGCUGUUGGAGCAAGUCACCUGGGACUUCAACAACCUGGAUUUCAGUCUUCUAAGCAAGAUGUAAGCAAUAAAGUUUUGCCGCAGAAGAUUCUGGUUUGCUGUGUUCUUCCUGGCCGGGCGUGAGAACGCGUUUAAUAACAAUUGGUGCCGAAUUCCGGGACGAGAAAAAACUCGGGACUGGCGCAAGGAAGAUCCCUCAUUCCAGAACCAGAACUGCGGGUCGCGGUAAUAAAGGUUCCCGUAAAGCAGACUGUUAAGAAGGAUUCAACUACAUGAAUUCAGAACUUUUCAGCUGGGGAACGGCGGUAACCCGUAAGUAUAGCUUUACGAGGUAAGCCUGGCCUUGAACUUUCUAAGGAAAUUCAAGACAGUCUAUCAGAAGUAAAGUGGAAAAUAGCUUUAUAAGGUAUGUUUGGCCUUGAAUUUUCUCUAGUGUUAGAAGCCCUUUUGUUCCUUUUCACAUGUUAUCAAGUGGUUAAGGCAGGGCGGAUUCUAGAUGAAAUUCAGGACAAUCUAUCAGAAGUAAAGCGGGGAGAGAGAGUAGGAGCAAAGAGAAAAUAUGGUACACAAAAUAAGCAUACAGGCCUUUCCACGGGUCUUGAACCUGAGGAAAAGUUUAGGUCAGGUAAGAAUACCUGGGGAGAGAUUAGAAGGAAGGAGAAGGAAAAAGAAAAGAAAAAAGAUCAAUCAGCGGAGGCUUCUAGGAGAAGGAGCCUCUACUCAUCACUAGGUGAGCUCAAGGAGCCAGUUUUUAAUAGUUCUGAAUCAGAUGAAAAGGCUAUUAGGGCCUGGAAGGCGCUCUCCCGAGCAGGUGAAGCCACUGGACAAUAAUGACAGAGGCAGGCUCUUGCAGCCUACAAGGUCUUAUUGUCCACCCUGGAGUUGUAGAUCAAGAUUAUAAAGGGGAACUUCAGGUUCUCUGUUCUUGUCCUCAAGUUGUCUUUUCUAUAUCACAAGGGGACAAAAUAGCUCAACUAAUAAUUUUGCCAAGCCUACAUGGCUGUUUUUUCUUCCUCUGGUAUUCCUAGAGCUGCAAGAGGGAUUGGUUCUACUAGAAAAUGAUUCUGAUUACUUAAUAAUGCCUUUAGAUUGUUGUCAAAUUUUAUCUACUCACGUAGGGGUAAACCCUCGUGGCGUCAGGCCAUUACAGGUCUGACAAAUGGAUGUCACGCAUAUUUCCUCCUUUGAGAGAAAUCAAUAUUUACAUGUUUAGAAGAAACCCACUUAAAAAUGGGAUUGUGGUAUAUACUGAUGGAUCAAAAACUGGCAUAGGUGCCUAUGUGGCUAAUGGUAAAGUGGUAUCCAAACAAUAUAAUGAAAAUUCACCUCAAGUGGUAGAAUGUUUAGUGGUCUUAGAAGUUUUAAAAACCUUUUUAGAACCCCUUAAUAUUGUGUCAGAUUCCUGUUAUGUGGUUAAUGCAGUAAAUCUUUUAGAAGUGGCUGGAGUGAUUAAGCCUUCCAGUAGAGUUGCCAAUAUUUUUCAGCAGAUACAAUUAGUUUUGUUAUCUAGAAGAUUUCCUGUUUAUAUUACUCAUGUUAGAGCCCAUUCAGGCCUACCUGGCCCCAUGGCUCUGGGAAAUGAUUUGGCAGAUAAGGCCACUAAAGUGGUGGCUGCUGCCCUAUCAUCCCCGGUAGAGGCUGCAAGAAAUUUUCAUAACAAUUUUCAUGUGACGGCUGAAACAUUACGCAGUCGUUUCUCCUUGACAAGAAAAGAAGCCCGUGACAUUGUUACUCAAUGUCAAAGCUGCUGUGAGUUCUUGCCAGUUCCUCAUGUGGGAAUUAACCCACGUGGUAUUCGACCUCUACAGGUCUGGCAAAUGGAUGUUACACAUGUUUCUUCCUUUGGAAAACUUCAAUAUCUCCAUGUGUCCAUUGACACAUGUUCUGGCAUCAUGUUUGCUUCUCCGUUAACCGGAGAAAAAGCCUCACAUGUGAUUCAACAUUGUCUUGAGGCAUGGAGUGCUUGGGGGAAACCCAAACUCCUUAAGACUGAUAAUGGACCAGCUUAUACGUCUCAAAAAUUUCAGCAGUUCUGCCGUCAGAUGGACGUAACCCACCUGACUGGACUUCCAUACAACCCUCAAGGACAGGGUAUUGUUGAGCGUGCGCAUCGCACCCUCAAAGCCUAUCUUAUAAAACAGAAGAGGGGAACUUUUGAAGAGAUUUUACCCCGAGCACCAAGAGUGUCUGUGUCUUUGGCACUCUUUACACUCAAUUUUUUAAAUAUUGAUGCUCAUGGCCAUACUGCGGCUGAACGUCAUUGUACAGAGCCAGAUAGGCCCAAUGAGAUGGUUAAAUGGAAAAAUGUCCUUGAUAAUAAAUGGUAUGGCCCGGAUCCUAUUUUGAUAAGAUCCAGGGGAGCUAUCUGUGUUUUCCCACAGAAUGAAGACAACCCAUUUUGGAUACCAGAAAGACUCACCCGAAAAAUCCAGACUGACCAAGGGAAUACUGAUGUCCCUCGUCUUGGUGAUGUCCAGGGCGUCAAUAAUAAAAAGAGAGCAGCGUUGGGGGAUAAUGUCGACAUUUCCACUCCCAAUGACGGUGAUGUAUAAUGCUCAAGUAUUCUCCUGCUUUUUUACCACUAACUGGGAACUGGGUUUAGCCUUGAUUCAGACAGCCUUGGCUCUGUCUGGACAGGUCCAGACGACUGACACCAUUAACACUUUGUCAGCCUCAGUGACUACAGUCAUAGAUAAACAGGCCUCAGCUAAUGUCAAGAUACAGAGAGGUCUCAUGCUGGUUAAUCAACUCAUAGAUCUUGUCCAGAUACAACUAGAUGUAUUAUGACAAAUAACUCAGCUGGGGUGUAAACAAAAGUUUCCGGGAUUGUGUGUUACUUCCAUUCAGUAUGUUAAAUUUACUAGGACAGCUAAUUUGUCAAAAAGUCUUUUUCAGUAUAUGUUACAGAAUUGGACGGCUGAAUUUGAACAGAUCCCUUCGGGAAUUGAGACUUCAGGUCAACUCCACGCGCUUGGACCUGUCGCUGACCAAAGGAUUACCCAAUUGGAUCUCCUCAGCAUUUUCUUUCUUUAAAAAAUGGGUGGGAUUAAUAUUAUUUGGAGAUACACUUUGCUGUGGAUUAGUGUUGCUUCUUUGAUUGGUCUGUAAGCUUAAGGCCCAAACUAGGAGAGACAAGGUGGUUAUUGCCCAGGCGCUUGCAGGACUAGAACAUGGAGCUUCCCCUGAUAUAUCUAUGCUUAGGCAAUAGGUCGCUGGCCACUCAGCUCUUAUAUCCCAUGAGGCUAGUCUCAUUGCACGGGAUAGAGUGAGUGUGCUUCAGCAGCCCGAGAGAGUUGCACGGCUAAGCACUGCAGUAGAAAGGCUCUGCGGCAUAUAUGAGCCUAUUCUAGGGAGACAUGUCAUCUUUCAAGAAGGUUGAGUGUCCAAGUGUCCUUCUCUCCAGGCAAAACGACACGGGAGCAGGUCAGGGUUGCUCUGGGUAAAAGCCUGUGAGCCUAAGAGCUAAUCCUGUACAUGGCUCCUUUACCUACACACUGGGGAUUUGACCUCUAUCUCCACUCUCAUUAAUAUGGGUGGCCUAUUUGCUCUUAUUAAAAGGAUAGGGGGAGAUGUUGGGAGCCGCGCCCACAUUCGCCUUUACAAGAUGGCGCUGACAGCUGUGUUCUAAGUGGUAAACAAAUAAUCUGCGCAUGUGCCGAGGGUGGUUCUCCACUCCAUGUGCUCUGCCUUCCCCGUGACGUCAACUCGGCCGAUGGGCUGCAGCCAAUCAGGGAGUGACACGUCCUAGGCGAAGGAUAAUUCUCCUUAAUAGGGACGGGGUUUCGUUUUCUCUCUCUCUUGCUUCUUACACUCUUGCUCCUGAAGAUGUAAGCAAUAAAGUUUUGCCGCAGAA
rnacentral:lncRNA from 1 species